GUCAAUGUAACAUAAUGGUUUGAGGGUUGGACUGUGACUCUGAAGACCAGGGUUCAAUUCCCUCUUAGCCA